UCCCCGUUACCGGGGCAGUCUGAAUAGAAAAAUUCAACUAUUCAUAAGGGUUGCGCUCGUUGAUGGACUUAACCAAACAUCUCACGACACGAGCUGACGACGGCCAUGCAUCACCUGUCACUUGGCUCAAUAAAGCACUCUCUGCUUUCACAGAAAUUCCAAGGAUGUCAAACCCUGGUAAGGUUCUUCGUUUACCAUCGAAUUAAAGAACAUGAUCCACCGCUUGUGCGGGUCCCCGUCAAUUCCUUUAUGUUUUAGUCUUGCGACCGUACUCCACAGGCGGGAUGCUUAACGCGUGAGCUUCGCUACUAAAGGGGUCGAUACCUCUAACAGCUAGCAUCCAUCGUUUACGGCGUGGACUAC
rnacentral:misc_RNA from 1 species